AACGAACGCUGGCGGCGCGUCUUAAACAUGCAAGUCGAACGGCAGGAAGGGGCUUGCCCCUUCUGAGAGUGGCGGACUGGUGAGUAACACGUGGGUGACAUACCUUUUAGUUGGGGAUAGCUGUUAGAAAUAGUAGGUAAUACCGAAUGUGACCGUACCUGUUAGAGGGGUACGAGGAAAGGAGCUAAGGCUUCGCUAAAAGAAUGGCUCGCGGCCCAUUAUGCUCGUUGGUGAGGUAACGGCCCACCAAGGCGAUGAUGGGUAUCCGGCCUGAGAGGGUGAACGGACACAUUGGGACUGAGAUACGGCCCAGACUUCUACGGGAGGCAGCAGUUAAGAAUAUUCCGCAAUGGACGAAAGUCUGACGGAGCGACGCCGCGUGGAUGAAGAAUGCCGAAAGGUUGUAAAAUCCUUUUAAGCCUGAUGAAUAAGCACAGUAGGGAAUGAUUGUGCGGUGACCGUAGGGCUUGAAUAAGCACCGGCUAAUUACGUG
rnacentral:rRNA from 1 species